rnacentral:lncRNA from 1 species
CUUAUUGGUUUAUAAGGAGAAGAGUGAUUGAGUGGUGGGAGAAAACUGGCAGUUGUUACUAUGGUAAAGGGACUGCCUGUCAUAUUGUUUCUGACUUGCACGCAUGUGUGCAAAGGAAAAAGAAAUAUGUUACCCAAGAGGUCUCAUGGAGGAGUUACUCCUGCUCUGGCACAAAGGUUUUCGUGCCUUUUCAGCAGUGAAAUAAGAGGAGCCCCACAGCCUAAGUUAGCGAGAACGCAGGUGUGCUCCAGAAACAAAAAGGCACUCCAGUUUGAAGGGAGCAAGGGAUUUCUUUUCCUUCUUGGCUAACAGUCCUUCACCUGGCUUGAAGAGAAAGCAGAUGGCUCUCUGCUGGCUGUGGAAAGAAAAUCACCUGAGAGGGGAAAGGAAGAAGCAGCUUGAGAAACUGCAACCCGCAAAAGAAUUCAGAUGAAAAUGAGUAUGUGUGCCGAGAGGUUUAGCUAAACACUAUAAAAAUUGACUAGUACAUGAUAAAACUCUCCAAUAUGAAGAGAUCCAUGGGCUGUCUAGACCGACUUUUCUUUUUUUUUUUCCUUCUUAAAAGCAAACAGAACCACACAUAACUAAAUAAGUGCAAAAUUCACACAUGGAUGAUGCCAGAACGUAACAGCAUUGCAUGGAAUAAAUACUUCAGUAAGCUUGGUUCUGGUUUUCCU